GCCCCGGUAGUUCAGUGGUGAAUUCUUGAAUGUGGUGAGAGAAAACGCCUAACAAUAACUACGAGGCGCCGCAGGUUCGAAUCCUGCUCUGUGUCU